rnacentral:rRNA from 1 species
UACGUAGGGGGCAAGCGUUAUCCGGAAUUACUGGGUGUAAAGGGUGAGUAGGCGGCAUGGUAAGCCAGAUGUGAAAGCCUUGGGCUUAACCCGAGGAUUGCAUUUGGAACUAUCAAGCUAGAGUACAGGAGAAGAAAGCGGAAUUCCUAGUGUAGCGGUGAAAUGCGUAGAUAUUAGGAAGAACACCAGUGGCGAAGGCGGCUUUCUGGACUGAAACUGACGCUGAGGCACGAAAGCGUGGGGAGCGAACAGG